rnacentral:rRNA from 1 species
CAAUAGCGUAUAUUAAAGUUGUUGUGGUUAAAAAGCUCGUAGUUGGAUUUCUGCUGAGAACGACCGGUCCGCCCUUUGGGUGUGUAUCUGGCUCUUUCUUGGCAUCUUCUUGGUGAACGUUGCUGCACUUGACUGUGUGGAGCGCUACCCAGGACUUUUACUUUGAGGAAAUUAGAGUGUUUCAAGCAGGCAUACGCCUUGAAUACAUUAGCAUGGAAUAAUAAGAUAGGACCUCGGUUCUAUUUUGUUGGUUUCUAGAGCUGAGGUAAUGAUUAAUAGGGAUAGUUGGGGGCAUUCGUAUUUAACUGUCAGAGGUGAAAUUCUUGGAUUUGUUAAAGACGGACUACUGCGAAANCANNNGCCAAGGAUGUUUUCAUNGA